rnacentral:sRNA from 1 species
GUAAGGAGCCGGAUGAUUGCCUCAGCAGGUGUGAAGCGUGUGCUUUAGUUUCGUGGGAGGCCUGGCAUCCCCGAGAGGGAGGGGAAAGGUAACCACUCCUUUGUGGAGGUCGCCAGGGUCAUUGUCGUGGAUUUGCACAGUCGGCUGGGCGGUGCAAUGGCGGAAAGAAAAGGAACAGCCAAAGUGGACUUUUUGAAGAAGAUUGAGAAAGAAAUCCAACAGAAAUGGGAUACUGAGAGAGUGUUUGAGGUCAAUGCAUCUAAUUUAGAGAAACAGACCAGCAAGGGCAAGUAUUUUGUAACCUUCCCAUAUCCAUAUAUGAAUGGACGCCUUCAUUUGGGACACACGUUUUCUUUAUCCAAAUGUGAGUUUGCUGUAGGGUACCAGCGAUUGAAAGGAAAAUGUUGUCUGUUUCCCUUUGGCCUGCACUGUACUGGAAUGCCUAUUAAGAGUAAAGCGGCUGCUAAAGCUGGAUCUUCUAAAUACCAGUGGGGCAUUAUGAAAUCCCUUGGUCUUUCUGAUGAAGAGAUAGUAAAAUUUUCUGAAGCAGAACAUUGGCUUGAUUAUUUCCCGCCACUGGCUAUUCAGGAUUUAAAAAGAAUGGGUUUGAAGGUAGACUGGCGUCGUUCCUUCAUCACCACUGAUGUUAAUCCUUACUAUGAUUCAUUUGUCAGAUGGCAAUUUUUAACAUUAAGAGAAAGAAACAAAAUUAAAUUUGGGAAGCGGUAUACCAUUUAUUCUCCAAAAGAUGGACAGCCUUGCAUGGAUCAUGAUAGACAAACUGGAGAGGGUGUUGGACCUCAGGAAUAUACUUUACUCAAAUUGAAGGUGCUUGAGCCAUAUCCGUCUAAAUUAAGUGGCCUGAAAGGUAAAAAUAUUUUCUUGGUGGCUGCUACUCUUAGACCUGAGACCAUGUUUGGGCAGACAAAUUGUUGGGUUCGUCCUGAUAUGAAGUACAUUGGAUUUGAGACGGUGAAUGGUGAUAUAUUCAUCUGUACCCAAAAAGCAGCCAGGAAUAUGUCAUACCAGGGCUUUACCAAAGACAAUGGCGUGGUGCCUGUUGUUAAGGAAUUAAUGGGGGAGGUAAGU